rnacentral:lncRNA from 10 species
GGAAAAGUCAUUUUCUGUUGAACAUGCAUACUGAGAUGUAUAAUGGGUGAAACCAUGUCUGGGAUUGUCUUAAAAUACUUCUGAAAGAAAGAAGUAGGGAUGGAGAGGAGAGACUAGAUAAAACACAAUUGGCAAAAUGUUGGUAAAAUUGUUCAAACUACAUGAUGGCUACAUGGAAGUUUGUGAUAUUAUCUUCUCUACUUUUGUGUACCUUAGAGAAUUUUCAUGAUAAAAGUUUAAAAGUACAUACACACACACAAAACAAUACCCAUGUUGCAAGAACACAUUGAAAUAAGAAGAUAAACAUUAAAAUGGUUGGUUACCUUUUAGGAGAAGAAAGGAAGGAGAGCUGAGUGUGGUGAAAAAAGUGAAGAGUGCUGGCUUUGGAAGCAUGUAUGCUAAAAUUGGAACCACACAGAGAUGACCAUGACCCCUGUGCAAGGAUGCUGUGCAAAUUCAUGAAGCAUUCCGUAUUUUUAUAAGUAAAUAAAUGGAAAAAAGUGUAAAGAAAAAAGAUCCAGAAAAAUUGGGAUACCCCAGUGGAGCAUGGGAUGGGUAAAGACCAAGGGGAGGGCAUGUACAUUUGGCAGGCAACCAGCAGGGCCUGCCCGGAGCCCAUCCUUAUUUUCCCCAGGAGCCUCCUCCCAACCCCUGAGGCUUGGUUAGGCUCCACCUGUGGUUUUCUGUGGUACCAGGGGAUUUUCCUCUUCUGGCACUUACCACACAUCCUCUUAAGACCUGCUCAUUGCACUGUCUUCCCCACCAGACUGUAACAGGGAGUGGGCCUAUGUGUUUGUUUUGCUCAAUUCCAUUCCCCCAGCAUGUGGCACAUGGUCCACCAUUCUGGGUGUGCUCUAAAAUCCGUUGAGUGAAAAACAGUAGCCAGUGUUUGUUGAGUAUUAUCUCACUUUAUUCUCAGAACUCUAUGAAGUAGGAAAUAGUAUUUUCACCCGUUUGAUUAACAAGGAAAUGGAGGAGGCUCAGAGAGGUUAAGUGACUUGCCUAAAGUCAGAGCUAAAGUAUGGCAGAGCAAGAUCCAGGCAGACCAGCUGCCAUUAGAACCAGUGUUCUCAAUCCCUGCACCAUACUAUCUUGAAGAGGGAUGGAGGCCAGUGGUGUCGAGGAGAGAAGCUAACACACUUGAAAUAUUUUUCAGUCAACAUCAGACACUCCCAAACCAAGAGCUAAUGUGGUACAGACUCUGGGAGCUGUGUGGUAGAGAACGGAGUGGAGUGAUCAGAGAGAUAGGGAACAUUGGAAAAGAGAUUAAUAGAAUGUGAUAGAAAGUGAUUACAGUUGAAUCCAAAAGCAUCUUCCCUAAAUUGUCAUGGGGUUGAGAUGGUAGGCUGAGGCCCAGCCCACCCCUAUGGGGGUGUCUCUUGCCUUCUAGGUAGUUCUUAAUUAGUGGUUCUCAACUGGGGGUGAUUUUGCCUCCAGCGGACGGACAUUUGAUAGUAUCUGAAGACACUUUUCCUUGUCACAACUGGAGGGAGAAGGGUGGCUAAUGACAUCUAGUGGGUAGAGCCCAGGGAGGCUGCUAAACCUACUAAAAUGCACAAGGUACAGGAUACCGUCCCCCAAAAAGAUUCAUCUGAUCAAAAGCUUAACAGUGCCACAGUUGAGAAACCCCACCAGUUCUUAACCUGAAUGAUAGUUUUGACCAUUCACCCACUCUGCUUCCACAGUCUUUCUCUCUCAGCUUCCAGAAUCUCUAAAUACAAGGACAUGGCAAAGACACAGUGUUGUCAAGAGAAGCCUGCGUGUGGGCUGGGCCUAGAGAGCCUCACAUGAUGGCAUUUCCUUUGAUGGUUCAUUACAGCCCAGGGCCACUGUACCAUCAUCCCACCUUUCUACUCUCUGAUGCUUAGUCCCAGUGGUGUGCUGGUUAAUGUUUAACAACCAGCUCUCUGGGAAAACAAGUCCUGGUUUGUAGCAUUUGACAAUUUCCAUGGUGUAACUAUUCCAACCUUGGCCAAUUUAAUGUUGCCAAUGAGAAGUCACCUUGUUUGCAAAAUUCCUGAAAAUUUAACAAAUGAGCUGGUGUGAGCCAGCUCCUGCACACCACUGCUUAGACCCCACCUUCCAAUCUUCCAUGUUCUCUCAUAAGCCACAUAAAUGCGUACCCACUGAGUCAAUGGCUUAACACAAUGAAAGUGGGUUUCUCACACAAUAGUCUGAUAUGGGUGUUCCUGAUUGAGUUGUUCUCUCACAUGGCCCUCCUCCAAGCAGCGACUCAGGGCCAGGCUCCUUCUGUCUUGUGGCUUACUUCCUCUAGAAGUUCUCAAACUUCAGUAUGCAUCAGAGUCAUCUGGAGAGCUUAAAAUGCAAUUCCCCAGAGUUUCUGACUCAGUAGGUCUGGGAUGGGGCUUGUGGAUGUGCAUUUUAUAAACAGUUCCCAGGCAUUGCUGGUCUUGCUGGUCUUGCUGGUUGGGGGACACAUUUUGAGAAUCAUUGCUCUGAGGCAAUGAUUUGAUUUUUUUUUUCUUUUUUCUCUUUUUUUUUUUUGAGACGGAGUCUCGCUCUUUUUGCCCAGCCUGGAAUGCAAUGAUGCGAUCUCGGCUCACUGCACUGCAACCUCUGCCUCCUGGGUUCAAGCAAUUCUCCUGCCUCAGCCUCCUGAGUAGGUAGGAUUACAGGUGCCCGCCACCACGCCCAGCUAAUUUUUUGUAUUUUUAGUAGAGAUGGGGUUUCACUAUGUUGGCCAGGCUGGUCUUGAGCUCCUGACCUCAGGCGAUCCAUCUGCCUUGGCCUCCCAAAGUGCCCAGCCUGAGGCAAUGAUUUUCUACCUUGGCAGCACACUGGAAUCACCUGGGAAGCUUUGUUAAAUCCUGAUGCCUGGUUCCACUUCCAGAGUGUCUGUUUUAAUUGGUCUAGGAUGCAGCCUGACAAUGGCGAUAUUUAAAGCUCUCAUGUGAUUUCAAUCAACAG